rnacentral:rRNA from 1 species
UGAGGAAUAUUGGACAAUGGGGGCAACCCUGAUCCAGCCAUGCCGCGUGAGUGAAGAAGGCCUUCGGGUUGUAAAGCUCUUUCGGCGGGGACGAAACGGUCCGUGACAACACCACGGACUAAUGACAGUACUCGCAGAAGAAGCACCGGCUAACUACGUGCCAGCAGCCGCGGUAAUACGUAGGGUGCAGGCGUUAAUCGGAAUUACUGGGCGUAAAGCGUGCGCAGGCGGCUCCUUAAGUCAGAUGUGAAAUCCCCGGGCUUAACCUGGGAACUGCGUUUGAAACUGAGGGGCUAGAGUGUGGAAGAGGGGGGUGGAAUUCCAGGUGUAGCAGUGAAAUGCGUAGAGAUCUGGAGGAACACCGAUGGCGAAGGCAGCCCCCUGGGCUAACACUGACGCUCAUGCACGAAAGCGUGGGGAGCAAACAGGAUUAGAUACCCGCGUAGUCCCUGAGCGGGC